rnacentral:rRNA from 1 species
CCUCCACGACUAGGCUAAAACUCAAAGGAAUUGACGGGGCCCGCACAAGCGGCGGAGCAUGCGGAUUAAUUCGAUGCAACGCGAAGAACCUUACCAAGGCUUGACAUGUGCUAGAUCGCCGUAGAAUACGGUUCCCCUUUGGGGCUGGUUCACAGGUGCUGCAUGGUUGUCGUCAGCUCGUGCCGUGAGGUGUCGGCUUAAGUGCCAUAACGAGCGCAACCCUCAUCCUCGUUUGCCAUCAGGUAAUGCUGGGCACUCCGGGGAUACUGCCAUCGUAAGAUGUGAGGAAGGUGGGGAUGACGUCAAAUCAGCACGGCCCUUACGUCCGGGGCUACACACGUGUUACAA